CCUACGGGAGGCAGCAGUGGGGAAUCUUGGACAAUGGGCGCAAGCCUGAUCCAGCCAUGCCGCGUGAGUGAAGAAGGUCUUCGGAUUGUAAAGCUCUUUUACCAGGGACGAUAAUGACGGUACCUGGAGAAUAAGCCCCGGCAAACUUCGUGCCAGCAGCCGCGGUAAU
rnacentral:rRNA from 1 species